rnacentral:tRNA from 1 species
UCGGGGGUAUACAGGCGGACCGUGCAGUCGCCGUCGGCAGUGGUGACGGUGUCGGUGAUGUUCGGCAUGGCUACCGUUUUACUCCGCGGCCCUCGGU